rnacentral:lncRNA from 1 species
CCAAGAUGAACACUUUGGUUGUAAUUCAGUUCAAAGAUGAGUGUACAAUGUGCUCAUGAGUGUAAAUUGCCAUGUAUAGAUUGUACAUUAUUAGCUCUAAGAAAUGCAUAUCACUAUACAUAACUUGCAGUUUUCUUUUUUAAUUGAUGUGUGCACUCCCAAAUAAUGUGUGGAAUAGCUAUUUUACAGGGAAUAAGUAUUAGGCAGACAACGGAUCCUGAAUACCUCUCCCUCCAGCGUGGAGUGGGUCUGAAAGCUCAGCAUAUAAUUUUACUUGAUCCGUAUGCAAUCUACACAUAUCCUGCGAUAAAUUCAUCACGGCAUCCAUCAGCGAUUUGCGUUUGAAUGAUGUGACUGUCACCCACAAACAAGAGACCAUCUAUUAAAAAAAGAGUCCAAACUAAUGGAAAGGAAAAGAGUCCAGUGAAUACAGACGAAGCACCAACCUAUAGCGACAUGCACAGCGAGCCCUCACAGGAGUUCGAACCCGAGUGAGUCGAGCCAGUAGCCCCUUACCAGCAAUUUGCAGCAGUAGGAACCCCUUCUCCCAUCCCGCCAGUGAGCCAGCUCCUCCCCACGGACGGCGGUACGGCGUUGGCAAAAGGGCGGCGGUGGAACCUCCUCCCCAUCCCGCACGUGAGCCAGCUCCUUCCCGUGGACGGUGCUGCGGCGUUGGCAAAGGGUGGCGUUGGCGGCGUUGGCAAAGGGCGGCGGUGCGGACGGCGGUGGGAGCGAAGGCAAAGGGCAGCACGGGUUGCCGGGAGCGGAGGGGUGGGGCGCGGCGGCAGAGGUUACCCUAGCGCCGUGGUGCAUCUCGUUCUCGUGCGGGAGAGAGAGGCCCCGUCGAAUCGGUAUUCUCUCACUUAAUGGAUUAAUGGAUAGGAGAGCGGGUUGAUUACCGAAAAACAGGAGGGUUAUUUUAUAAAAGUGUCGUGGUAGGUUUUCCGACGGAAGCAAUAGCCUCUUUAUUAUUAAAGUAAAGAUAGCUACCUUAGAUUAGGUUUUAGAUUUGGGUUUUAUUAUAUUGUCUAGUCAUCGCUAUAAUUUAC